rnacentral:rRNA from 1 species
UGGGGAAUAUUGGACAAUGGGCGAAAGCCUGAUCCAGCCAUGCCGCGUGUGUGAAGAAGGUCUUCGGAUUGUAAAGCACUUUAAGUUGGGAGGAAGGGCAGUAAGCGAAUACCUUGCUGUUUUGACGUUACCGACAGAAUAAGCACCGGCUAACUCUGUGCCAGCAGCCGCGGUAAUACAGAGGGUGCAAGCGUUAAUAGGAAUUACUGGGCGUAAAGCGCGCGUAGGUGGUUCGUUAAGUUGAAUGUGAAAGCCCCGGGCUCAACCUGAGAACUGCAUCCAAAACUGGCGAGCUAGAGUAGGGCAGAGGGUGGUGGAAUUUCCUGUGUAGCGGUGAAAUGCGUAGAUAUAGGAAGGAACACCAGUGGCGAAGGCGAACACCUGGGCUCAUACUGACACUGAGGUGCGAAAGCGUGGGGAGCAAACAGG